AGUAAGUCUCUGACUUCCACUCCUGAAGCCAUUAAGAAGCCACUCACUCCAGUUCAAGUAGUGCAGAGAAAUAAUUGCAGUAAGAGCCACAGGAGCAGCAUUUGGCCAACACCAAAUGCAAGUCAGCUACACCUAGAGGUUCAAGAAAACACAGAACCUAAACCAGAGGAAAUGCAUCUGCCAACAUAAGCCCCACAAAGACAGACUGUGAACUCAGGACCACUGAAUUGCUUCUCUGGACUAUGCAAAAGAUGAAAAGGAAACUUACAGGCAAUGCAAACUACCCAACAGUCUAGAUACGAGAAGGUCAACAAAUCAAAGAGCGUUGAAAGCAGUUGCUCAAGAUAAAUAAAUGGUUGCAGAUCACAAAGGCUAGACAUCCACUUUUACAAUGGUGUUUUCCAAGAAAGUUCUCCACGCAAGGUGACGGCUCCAGCAUCACUUUCCACCGACACUGAAAGAUGUUAAGAUGUCAGCUUUCCAGAUUUUUGCAAUAGCUCUUGCACAUGGUUCUGGGCAUGACAACAAGAAAGCUGACUUGGUGAUUUGUUGUCAAUUCUGAGGCAGAAGAUGGAGAAACACAAAGUGCAGUUCACUCUGUGGACUGAUCUAAUUAGAAGACAGUAUGAGCCAGCGAGGUCAAGAGUUGAAAGUUACUUUUACUAAAAAAAGGACACAAGAACAAAAGCGUCUCCAAGGUACCUAUCUUCUCACAUCCUUGCUUCAGUUCUUGCUCCUUUGUUCAGCUAACACCUAG